GUGAGGAUGAGUGGCUGGCAGGGCUAGCGGAUGGGGACGGAAUGAACUGAGUCUGCACAUUAUCCGAGGUCCCUUUUGACCUGAUAUUUUGUGACCCUAAAUUCAGUGGUAAUGUCUCGAGUGUUUCAUUCGAGUGUUAAUAAUAAUGCUGCCACCCCUGCCCGGCUCUUAGGAAGACGAGCGAGGUACUAGAAUUACAACGCUUUGAGUUUCACGGCGCUGCGUUAUCUCAGGCGAGCGCCCUCGCCAGCUCAGUCACGUUUGAGGUUUUUAACUUAGUAUCAGGGGGAAAUGAAAUGGUCUGAAAGCCCUUUAAUUGUGAGUUUCCGAGGCGGUGUGUGGAAAGACGGCAGCCUGACAGCUUUUCACACGCACCCGCAGGGCCUCCACGGCACAGGCCUCCUGACGUUCGUCGACUUCUGCCCUCGUGUUUCGGGAAAGCCUUCAGUAGCUGCCCCUGUUCUUAAAGCGAGAGCCCGCAUGCCUGCCAAGGCCUGCUCGCCUCGCCCUGGCCGGACUGGCGGCCGCAGCCACAUCAUGUCUGAGUACGGGAGGAUGACAGACACAGAGCGAGACCAGAUAGACCAGGACGCUCAGACGUUCAUGAGGACCUGCUCUGAAGCGAUUCAGCAACUGCGAACACAAGCCCACAAGGAGAUACACUCCCAGCAAGUGAAGGAGCACAGGAGUGCCGUUCUGGAUUUCAUUGAAGAUUACUUGAAAAGAGUUUGUAAACUUUACUCAGAACAAAGAGCCAUCCGAGUUAAGCGAGUGGUGGAUAAGAAGAGACUAUCUAAGCUGGAACCGGAACCAAGGACAAAGACCAGGGAAUCCGUGUCUUCUGAGAAAGUUUCACGGGAUCCUUCGCAAGACUCUGAAGAAAAAUCUGUCACUGAAGAAUAUCCAGAAAAGGUUCCGGCUGAAUCCCAACCCGAAUUGGGCACGUGGGGAGACGGCAAAGGUGAAGACGAAUUAUCCCCAGAAGAAAUACAGAUGUUUGAACAAGAGAACCAGCGCCUAAUUGGUGAGAUGAACAGCCUGUUCGAUGAAGUGAGGCAAAUCGAAGGGAGAGUGGUUGAAAUUUCCAGGCUCCAAGAAAUAUUCACAGAGAAGGUUUUACAACAGGAAGCCGAGAUCGACAGCAUUCACCAGUUAGUUGUAGGGGCGACUGAGAAUAUCAAGGAGGGCAACGAAGACAUCAGAGAGGGGCCUCUGCCUGGCACCAGAGGUGGUGCACAGACUGGCCACAGCUGGCUCAUCCCCCGCUGCCUCCAGGCCGACCCUGCCUGCGUUCUGCCAUCAACCGUGUUUGCCGCUCCCCUAGCCCACCUGGUCCGGCCCGGCCGGCCUCCGGAGUCUGCUGAUGGCUCAUACCCUAACUCAGAAUACAACCGAUUCCACGCGUCUUUUGAGGAGGGCAGGGAGCUUCCCAAAGGUGGGGGUCUCUACCCGAUGGGCCCCGGCUGUGCUGCACCCGGAAUACCAGCGGCAGCCACUGUACGUGGCAAGCACAAAAUGCAUACCUGCCGGCCGGGGGAGGGCCGCAGGAUCAGAGCACUGCGCACGGGCGACAUGCCGGGAAGCGGGAGGUCUGUUGAGCCUGCUGCCCCGUGCGAGCCUUCUGCUCCCUCACGGCCGUGAGACCCAAAGCAAAGCCACCCAGUGACGCGACAGACCAAGCCUGUCCGUGUACGUGCUCAGCACGGGCUUCUCCGGCUUUGAUUUCGGCAGCACCGGCCCCUGGAAAUGGUAGCUUUUCCCUUCACGCUGGCUCUCGAGAGGCUUUCUGGAACAAGGCCGCGUCACAUCAGCAGAGCAGGCAUUUCCGCCAGCAUGGAGAGCUGGCCAAGCAGGUGCCGGAGGGACAAGGACAGGCACGGGCGGGAGGUGGGGCAUGCCCAGCUCUGCUCCCCUUCCCUCCGGGCCUCUGCGCACGCCGCGCCCCGCCCCCCCCAGCGGAGGUCUGUUCCCAGAAGCUGCCUUGUUUACAGCUCCACCCUGCCUUCUCCCCCUGCCCCUCUGCCUCCCUCCCCUGCUCCCUUCCACAGGGGCCCCAUCGCAGGCCACCCGAGGCCAGAGCAGGACUGUGUCCCUCG